GUCAGUUUUUAAUAUUCUCUUUUUUCCAUUUACUAAUUUUAUUGUUUGUAUUUGGAGCACAGUUUUUAUUUUAUGUCUAUGCUGUGUGUCUUACUAUUGAGCUACAUGAUUAUAUUUUCUCUUUUACUAAUAUCAGUAGGAUGUGGAUGUUAUUUAUACAUGUCUUUUUCCUUAUUAUUUAUCAGUCUGUCUAGAGGUUAUCAAUUGUAAAAAAAUAAACCAGCUUUUAGUUUCAUCUUUUUUUCUAUUUUUUAAACUUUUAAUAUAAUUGAUUUAUUUUCUACUCUUUAUUAUUUUCUUCCUUCUAUUUGCUUUGGGUUUAAUUUGCUUUUCUUUCUCUAGUGUCCUAAUGUAAGUAUUUAAUGUUAGUAUCACAAUGAAAUCUUCAGGCAAUAUUUUCUCACUGCAUUUAUUUGUCUGAAAAAGUAUUUCACCUUCAUUGCUGAAAGAUAUUUUCUCUAGGUAUGGAGAUCUGGGUUGACAGGCUUUUUUAUUUCUUUCAAAAAUUUAAAGCUGUGAUUCCAAUAUCUUCUGACUUGUAGGCUUUCCGACGAGAAGGUGACUGUAAUUUUUGUCUUUGUUUCUCUGUAAUGUGAUGUGUCUUUUCACUGGCUGCCUUCAAAAUUGUCUUUUUAUGUUUUUCAGCCCUUUGAAUAGGAUAUGUCUAGGCAUAUGAUAUUUUUCAGUCUUGCUUUGCAAUCGCUUAGCCUCUUGAAUCUUUUUUAAAUGUCUUUCAUUAUUUUUGGAAAAUUUAUCUUUUCAAAUAUCUCUCUCGUUUUGUGCUCUCUCCUCCUUCUGGGUCUUCAAUUACAAGUAUUUAGAUGAUUUGAAAUUGUCACACAGCUUUUUGAUGCUCCGUUCUGUUUGUAUUCAUUCUUUUUUUCUCUGUCUUUAAGCUUUGGUGAUGCCUGUUGACCCAUCUUCAAGUUCAUGAUUCUUUCCUUAGCCAGGCCAAGUCCAUUGUUGAACCUGCUGAAGGAAUCCUUCAAAGGAUCUUUUAUUAUGCCCUAGGGCUGACCAGCUUUAUUUUUCUGCUUGAAGCAUUUGCUUCUCUAUGAGACAAGGGAUCAGGCAGGGAAGAAGGGUUUUUAUUUUUCCUGCAAUGGCAGCUACUCCCUCCUCCAUGCCUUCAUCAGCAGAGGAGGUCCUCCUGUCUCUUAUCCUGUUCUCUUGAACAGCCACUGGAGAUCUAUGGAAAAGAGCUUAAGAAAGGCCAUGUGAAGACACGGUGAGAAGACGGCCAUCUGAAAGUCAGGAGGAGUAUCCUCUUGAGAACUGAAUCAAGCUAGUACUUUGAUCUUGGACUUCCAGCCUCCAGAACUGCAGUGUUGGUCUGCAAGCUUCAAGAGCCAGUGACCCUGACUGCCAAGUGAUUUGCCGAAGGGAAUUAUGGUUUUGCAUUUGAUGGUUUCCAGGAACUGCUAAGAGUGAGAUCAUCCCUGAAGCAGUGACUGCCAGAGGAAGGCGAGAGACAUAUGGUGGCCUUACAGGAGAAGAACAUGUCUCAGAGAGCUCCUACUCCUCCAGUUUUGGCCCCAGAAUGAAACACAGGAAGAAGACCUGAAUUUGAUUUGCAUUUCAAAGUAGAACUGUCCCAGCUGACAUGAAGACUGAUGAAUAAGGAAUAAGUAUUUAUUGUUGUAUGUCACUGAUAUUUCUGUGGUCGAUUAUGUGUAGAAGAGCUGACUUGUACACUUACAUAAACUUGAAGAAGACUGAAUUUAGAAAUGGAGUUUCUGCAUAUGGUUAUGUCUGAGUAGCUCCAAGUGGAUCAUCCCUCCCACAGAUAACAACUCUAAACUCUGGACAAAAUAUAAAAAUAACAAUUUCCUGAAUAUCAAAGAGCAACCCAAAUCAUGCAGAUACUGGCUGCCGUAUUGUGAGCUGCAUUAUGAAGAGAACCAUGUGGCAAGACACUGAGGGAGAUCUCCAGCCAACAACAACUCAUAAGCAACUAAAUCUUGUGAUGAACCACUGGAGUCAUCUGGAAAGAGGAUCCUCUCACCUUCAAUCUUUGAAAUGGCUAGAGCUCUGAUGACAGUUGGAUUACAGCCUUAGGAGAAACAGAGAGCCGGGGAAAUUUGUGCCCAGGUUCCUUUCCCACAGACAUUGUCAGAUAAUAAAUAUCUCUGCGUUUUUAAGCUUCUAUGUUCUGGGAUAAUUUGUUAUGCUGCAAUAAAUAACAACCUGGAAGUGAGGUGCUGCCAUAGUAAAUAUCUAAAUAUGGAUCAUUAACUCAUGUCUAAACUAGCCUUAGAAUAAUAGCUACUCUAGACUUGUUAGCAGAACUUAAAACAAGCCUUAAGAGAACCAAGCUGAUCCAGAAAUAACAUACAUUAGCGGAUUAAAAUCCAACUUUCCUUAAAGAGUGAUAGAAAAAGUAAAAUACACAAUAUCUAACAUUCAAUCAAGAAUUACUAUUGAGAACAUGGAAAAACAUGACCCAUAAACGGGAGAAAAUUUAGUGAAUAGAAACAGAUCCCAAGAUGAUAACAAUAAUAGAAUUAAUAAACAGGACUUUGUAAACAACUAUGAUAAAUAUGCUUGACUGUUUAAAGAAAAACAUGAAAAUAAUAAUGAUGAGAGGAAUUAAAGAUAUAUAAAAGGACCAAAUAGAACAUCUAGAUUUUUAUUUAACUUAGGCACUAUAUGAAGUUAAAGAUACACUAGGCAAGACACUGUAGAAGAUAAGAUAGAUAAACUUGAAGACAUGGAUCUCAAAUUUUUCUAAACUGACUUUCUUAUGGGGACAGAAAAGACCAAGAAAAUAUGAACAGUGUCUCCUUAACUUUUUAUACUGCCUCAGUGUCUCAAUUACUUGUAAUGAUAUGAAACAGUCCAAUGUAUGUAUCACUGGAGUCCUGGAAAGAAAAUGAGGGACCAGAAAAAGGUUAAAGAAAUUCUAGCCUAAAUUAUUCCAAAAUUGGUAAAUACAACAUAUACUCACUUUGUAGAAGCUCAAUGAAUUUCAGUUGAGCUAAACAGCAAACAGACAAAAAAACAACCCCACCAAUUCUCAAAAGCAAAAACAGAAAAAGCUAUAAGCACAUCAUAAUCAAAUUAUUAAAUACUAGCAAUGAAUGAAAAUCUCUUACACAAGUCAGAAUAUAAAAUGCAAAUUAUUUAGAGAAGGAAAAAGAUAACCUAUGACAGAAAAUAAUUAAAUAACAUCUUCAGAAAACCAUGGAACACUGCUAAGAGAAAUCACACAUGACACAAAAGAAAACACAUACCAUGCUUAUGGAUGGGAAGAAUCAAUAUUGUGAAAAUAACCAUACUGGCCAAAGCAAUCUGCAGAUUCAAUGCAAUUCCCAUCAAAAUACUACCAUCAUUCUUCACAAAACUAGAAAAAACAAUCUUAAAAUUCAUAUGGGACCAGAAAAAGAGUACAUAUAGCCAAAGAAAUACUAACCAAAAAGAACAAACCUUGAAGCAUCACAUUACUGAACUUUAAAUUAUAUUACCAGGCUAUAGGUACCCAAACAGCAUGGUACUAGUAUAAAAGUAGGCACAUAGACCAAUGGAACAGAGUAGAGAACCCAGAAAUAAAGCCAAAUACUUACAGCCAACUGAUCUUCAACAAAGCAUACAAAAAUAUAAGUGGGAAAGGACACACUAUUCAACAAAUGGUGCAGGGAUAGUUGGCAAGCCACAUGUGGGAGAAUGAAACUCUAUCCUCAUCUCUCAUCUUAUGAAAAAAUAAACUCAAGAUGCAUCAAAGACUUAAAUCUGAGACCUGAAACCAUAAACAUCCUAGAAGAUAACAUUGGAAAAACUCUUCUGGACAUUGGCUUAGGGAAAGACUUCAUGACUAAGACCCCAAAAGCAAAUGCAAGAAAAACAAAAAUAAGUAGUAUCUAAUUAAACUAAAAAGCUUCUGCACAGCAGAUAGUCAGCAGAGUAAACAGACAACCACAGAGUGGGAGAAAAUAUUCACAAGCUGUGCAUCUGACAUCUGACAAAGGACUAGUAUCUAGCAUCUACAAGGGACUCAAACAAAUCAGCAAGAAAAAACAAAAACAAUCCUAUCAAAAAGUGGGCAAAGGGCACGAAUAGACGUUUCUCAAAAGAAAAUAUACAAACAGCCAACAAACAUAUGAAAAAAUGCUCAACCUCACUAAUUAUCAGGGAAAUGCAAAUUAAACCAUAAUGAGAUACCACCUUACUCCUGCAAGAAUGGCCAUAACUAAAGAGUCAAUAAACAAUAGAUAUUGGUAUGGAUGUGGUAAAUAGGGAACAUUUUCACACUGCUGGUAGGAAUGUAAAUUAGUACAAUCACUAUGGAAAGCAGUAUGGAGAUUCCUCAAGGGACUAAAAGUAAAUCUACCAUUUCAUCCAGCAAUUCCAUUACUGGGUAUCAACACAAAGGAAAAGAAGUCAUUAUAUGUAAAAGACACAUGCACAUGCAUGUUUAUAGCAACACAAUUUGCAAUUGCAAAGGUACGGAACUAACCUAAGUGCCCAUUGACCAAUGGGUGGAUAAAAAAAUGUGGUAUAUUUAUACCAUAGAAUACUAUUCGGCCAUAAAAAGGAACAAAAUAAUGUAUUUGGCAGAAACUUGGAUGGAACUGGAAGCCAUUAUUCUAAGUGAAGUAACUCAGGAAUGGAAAUCCAAAUACUGUAUGUUCUCCUUACAAUCGGUAGCUACCUUAUGAGGAUGCAAAAACAUACAGAGCAAUAUAAUGGACGUUGGGGACUCAGUGGGAGAAUUGGGGAGAGUGAGGGAUAAAAGACGACAUAUUGGAUACAGCAUACACUGCGUGUUUGAUGGGUGCACUAAAAUCACAGAAUUUACCCUAAAGAACUCAUCCAUGUAACCAAAAACUACCUGUAGCCCUAAAACUAAAGAAUUUUUUUAAAAAAUAACAUCUUCAAACUGUUAAAAGAAAAAAAAUAUCGAUCUAGAGUUCCAUACUCUGCAAAAAUGUACUUCAAAAAUAAAGACCAAAAGAAGAUUUUUAAAACAAACAAAUGCAGAAGUUGUCACUAGCAGACUUUUACUUCAGACAACAAUAAAUAGAACUCUUCAGGUGUAAGGACAAUGAUUCCAGAUGGAAACUUGGAUUUACUGAAAGUAAUAGUGUUGUGAUUGGUGAAUAUGUUACUAAAAAUAACAUUGAGUCAUUUUUUUAUUUUUAAUCUUUAUAAAAAAUGACUCUUUAAAACAAAAAUAAUAGAGUGUAUUGUGAAGUUUGUAACAUGUAUAACAUGUAUAAAAACAAAAGCACAAAUAGGAGAUGUAAUUAUAUGUAACUUUUAAUAUAUUACAUGUGAAGUUGUAUAACAUUAUUUGAAGUCAAUGUGACAAGUUAAAGAUGGACAAAUCCUAAAACCCUAGAACAACAGCUAAAAAUGAAACAAAGUGAUUGUUAUAGUGAAUCAGAGAAAAUAAAAUGGAAUAUAAAAAGCUAUCAAGAUGUCAAAAAGAGAGGGAAAGAGGAAAAAUAGCAGAGGUAUAAAUACACAACAAAUAACAAAGUAAUAGCUUUAAUCUCAAUGAUAUCUGUAAAUUAGAUGAAGGAAAAUGGAAUAAAGGCUGCAAUUAAAAGGAAGAGAUUUCCAUGCUGGAUAAAAUUGCAAGACCCAAUUAUAUGCUGGCCACAAGAUACAUGUUUCAAAUAUCAAGGCACAUAUAGGUUAGUUAAAAAAUAUAAAAUUCAUAUAUAUUUUCAGCAUGUAUCUAUGUAUCCCUAAUUGUGUAUGCCCCUAAUAAUAGAACUUCAAAAUGCAUGAAGCAAAAGGUGACUGUACUGAAAACACCAUUAAAAAUACACAGUUAUUUGUGGAGAUUCAACAAUUCUCUCUCAGUAAUUGGCAGAACAAGUCAAUGUUAAAAAUCAAUAAAAGUAAAGAAGGUUUGAUCGAUGUAAGUUAAUUGAUAUUUGUGGAAUUUUCUAUUCAGCAACAGAAGAAUAUACAUUCUUCUCAAUUGCAGACGGUCCACCCACCAAGAUGGACCCUGUACUGUUCUGUAAAACAUGUUUUAAGAAAGUUAAAAGACUGAAACUGUACAAAUUAUGUUCUGCACAUAAUAGAAAUUAUAUUCUAUAUGUGAUAAAAUUUAAUUUUAAAUUAACAGCAGAAAGGUAUCUAGAAAAUUCCCAAAUACUCUAACAUUAAUCAGUAUACUUCUAAAUAAUCACAAGUCAAGGGAGAUUCACAAAGAUAGUAUGAAGUAUUUUGAAUUGAAUAAAAGAAAAACAUACAAUGUCAAAUUUGUAAGAUAUAGCUAAAACAAUGCUUAGAGGGACAUUUAAGGCUUUAAAUGAUUAUAUUAGAGAAAAAGAAAGGUCUACAAUAUUCUAUAUUGACAUCUAAAGAAAUGAGACAAAGAAAAGAAAAAUCAAAUUCGAAGUUACUGGAAUAAAGAAAUAAGAUAAAAAGAAACAGACAAAACAACAAAAAAGAAAUGAAAAGGUGAGUGUAGAAAUUAAUGAAAUAGAAAACAAGUAAAUAAUGAAGUCAGUUAUGCCAAAUAAUUUUUUAAAAGCUUAAAAUAAAUUUCUGGUUAGACUGGUAAAAACAAAAGAGUGAAAAUACAAAUUAUUAGUAUCAAAAAGACAAGAAAGAGCAUUACUUCAGAUCUUGCAGCUAUUAACAAGACUCUAAGAAAAUAUUAUGAGUAACUAUGUCAAUAGUUUUGACAAAUUAGAGAAAAUUUUAAAAUUAUUGGAAAGACAAAUUAUCAAAAUGGAUAAAUCUCUAAAUAAUUUAUACAAAAGGAUUAAUAUAUUCUGUAUUAAAUUUUGUCAUGAAAAAAUGGUAAAAAGUUGAAGCCUUUUUGGCACUGAUAUCUGUAAGUUACUAGUUUAAGAUUACACUUUCUAACUGUGUUAGUCCACUCUCACACUGCUCACACUUUUAUUAAGAACUAUCUGAGACUGGGUAAUUUAUAAAGAAAAGAGAUUUAAUUGACUCGUAGUUCUGCAUGACUGGAGAGCCUCAGGAAACUUACAAUCAAGGCAGAAGAAGGAGAAGCAAGCAUGUCUUUACCAUGGCAGAUCAGGAAAGAGAGAGAGUAGAGGGAGAAGUGCCAGACACUUUCAAACAACCAGAUCUUGUGCUAACUCACUCACUAUCACGAGCACAGCAAGGGGAUAGUCCACCCCCAUGAUUCAGUUACCUCCCACCAAGCCCCUCUCCUGACAUGUUGGGAUUACAAUUCGAGAUGAGAUUUGGGUGGGGACACAGAGCCAAACCAUAUCACUAACUUUGUAGGUGAAAUAAUGCAUAUGUUGUUAUAUACAUAAUUGAUACUCAAUAUCAUUGUUUACUAGGGACUAUAAAGUAUAGCUAUUAUAGGAUACCAGUACACAGCUAAUAGAAUAGUUGCAAUUAAAAAGACUGACAAUAGCAAGUAUUGGAGAGUAUAUGGCACAACUGUGACUCUCAUACGUUCCUGGUGGAUGGUAACGUGGUACAGCCAGGAUGGAAAACAAUCGGUGAUCUAUGCUUGCCAUGUGAUCCAUCCAUUCCACUCCUAAGUAUUUAUCCAAUAGAGAUGACAAUAUGUGUUUGCACAAGUGUUUCAGCCCAGAACUGGAAACCAACAGGUGGAUGGAUUAAGUGCUUUAUUCAUAUUAGUUCCAAAAUGGAAACAGGGCAAAUAUCUAUCAAGUGAAUAUAUAAACAAACUGUUGUACAUGCAAUGGAUAAAUAUAUUGUGGUGCAUAUAAUGGAAUAUUAUUUAUAAAUAAAAAGAGAAUAAACUUCUGAUACAUGCAACAUGCAUAUAUCUCAACACGCAUAAAAAUGUUUUGCUGAGAGAAAGAAGCCUGAUGCAAAUGAGUAUACAGUAUUGAAAUUCAAUUGUAUGAAAUUCUAUAACAUGUAAGUCUAAUCUUUAGUGACAGAAAGAAGAUCAUUGUUUACUGGAGCCAGGGUUGCAACAUAGGGAUACUUACUGCAAAAGGGCUCAAGGGACAUGUUCUGUUUCUUGAUUGUGUUGUAUCCAGUGUCAAAAGCAAUCAAUAUGUAUGCUUAAAAUGCAUGCACUUUAUUGUGUAUAAAAUAUGGCUUAAUAGAGUUGACAGAAAACUUUUUUUAAAAUAGAAAAAGAACAAGUUCCUGGAAUAUUUUCUUAGUAUUCAAAUGUUUUAAUACAUUGGAAAAUAAGACAAAAACUUUAAGAAAUUAAAGAAUACAAAAUCUAUAUUCUAUAAACAAGACAUAAAAACCCUAAAUAUAUUUGUGUUUAUGUUAUAUUAAACAUAAGGAUCAGUAUGUGUUUACUUUUCCAUAAUCAAAUACCAUAUAGAAAAAUGAAAAUUUAGUAAAUAUGACUUUCUCUUCUUAGUAAAAAAGAUGCAAGGAAUAAAGGAAAUAAAGAGAAGGAAGUGAGAGAAAAUGAGUGGAAAAAAACGAGGUGGUUUUGGGUUAUAUGGUCACAGUGUCUAACAUAGAUGCUAUAGUGCUCAAAAAUCCUUGAAUUUGCGGGCAAUAAAAAGAAAAAUCAUUGCUUGGGUCAGUGGCCUAAAGUAAAACAUUGAUUUUCAAAUUUUGUUAUGUUGUCUGGGGACUAUACCUAAAAUUGCUUGUAUAAGUCUCAUGUAUCCCUUUGCUGUAG
rnacentral:lncRNA from 10 species